rnacentral:tRNA from 1 species
GAAGGUAUAGCUCAAGUGGUAAAGUAUAUGCUUAUCAUGCGUGACGUCCUGGGGUCAAUCUCCAGUACCUCCA